CCUACGGGUGGCAGCAGUGGGGAAUAUUGCGCAAUGGGCGAAAGCCUGACGCAGCGACGCCGCGUGAGGGAUGAAGGUCUUCGGAUCGUAAACCUCUGUCAGCAGGGAAGAACGGUCACUGUGCUAAUCAGCAGUGAAUUGACGGUACCUGCAAAGGAAGCACCGGCUAACUCCGUGCCAGCAGCCGCGGUAAUACGGAGGGUGCGAGCGUUAAUCGGAAUUACUGGGCGUAAAGCGCUCGUAGGCGGUAUGUCAAGUCAAGGGUGAAAUCCCCGCGCUCAACGUGGGAACUGCCUUUGAAGCUGGCAAACUGGAGUGUGUGAGAGGAUAGUGGAAUUCCAGGUGUAGGAGUGAAAGCCGUAGAUAUCUGGAGGAACAUCAGGGGCGAAGGCGACUAUCUGGCACAUAACUGACGCUGAGGAGCGAAAGCGUGGGUAGCAAACAGGAUGAGAUACCCCAGGAGUC
rnacentral:rRNA from 1 species